UACGGAGGGUGCAAGCGUUAUCCGGAUUCACUGGGUUUAAAGGGUGCGUAGGUGGGUUGGUAAGUCAGUGGUGAAAUCCCCGAGCUUAACUUGGGAACUGCCAUUGAUACUAUCAGUCUUGAAUACCGUGGAGGUCAGCGGAAUAUGUCAUGUAGCGGUGAAAUGCUUAGAUAUGACAUAGAACACCAAUUGCGAAGGCAGCUGGCUACGCGAAUAUUGACACUGAUGCACGAAAGCGUGGGGAUCAAACAGG
rnacentral:rRNA from 1 species